CCACGCUAGGCGGGGGGUUGGCGGUCCCCUAAACCCGAAAUCCGCCACAUGCGGGGCCGACAGCCCACCUGAGGCCCUCCGGGUCGGAAAACGGCACGACCUGGGGGUGAUGAAGGUUGGGUCCCACGCAACAGGGACCCGUGAACCUGGUCAGGCCCGGAAGGGAGCAGCCAUAAGCGGGACUCCCUGUGUGCCGUGGGGUAGCCCAGCUGGAGCUUCUGGGUCGUGUACGAGCCGGUUCGGAGAGGUCGAGGGUGGGAGCGUGG
rnacentral:SRP_RNA from 1 species